rfam:Candidatus Magasanikbacteria bacterium RIFCSPHIGHO2_01_FTLL_33_34 rifcsphigho2_01_scaffold_345, whole genome shotgun sequence.
AGUGCGCAAUACAAGAGCGUACGGUGGAUGCCUUGAUACUAUUGAACGAUGAAGGACGUAGCAAUCUGCGAUAAGCUUCGGUUAGGUGAUAAGCAACCUUUGACCCGGAGAUUUCCGAAUGGGGGAACCCAAUUCCGGUAAUGCGGAAUUAUUUCUAUGAUUAACGUCAUAGAGAAGAAGACCUGGUGAAGUGAAACAUCUCAGUAACCAGAGGAAAAGAAAACGAAUUAUUACUGAUUUUCAUUCAUUGAUCACACUUCGGUGUGGUCCGUGAACUGAAGAUCCGUAAUGUGAUUCCCUAAGUAGUGGCGAGCGAAAGGGGAACAGUCUAAACUUAUACAGUGUUGUAUUAUUUUAUUUUUAUAUCUUCGGAUAUUUUAGUGAGUAAUACUUAAAGGACAGGCCGUUGCUGUGUAGGUGUUGUAAGAUACAACGUUCGGAUACCUGUUAUGCCGGAUAUAUAUAUUUUUUAUAGUUAAAUAUUCCUGGAAAGGAAAACCAAAGAAGGUGAUAGUCCUGUAGACGAAAUAAUUUAAAUAUAUGUAUAGUUGUAUUCUUGAGUACGGCGGAACACGUGAAAUUCCGUCGGAACCCAGGCCGACUAUGGUCUAAGACUAAAUAUCAAUAGUAAUCGAUAGUGAACAAGUACCAUGAGGGAAAGGUGAAAAGUAGCCCGGAGAGGGCGAUGAAAUAGUUUCUGAAACCGUAUGCUUACAAUGAGCCGGAGCACUUUUUAGUGUGACGGUAUUCCUAUUGAAGAAUGAGCCUGCGAGUUAUUUUACGUGGCAAGGUUAAGACCCUCUGGGUAAUAGCCAUAGGGAAACCAAGUCUGAAUAGGGCGUUAAGUCUCGUAAAAUAGACCCGAAACCGAGUGAGCAAUCCAUGACCAGGAUGAAGGUUAUCGAAAGAUGACUGGAGGUCCGAACACACGCGCCGUGCAACACGCGGUGAUGAGUUGUGGAUAGCGGAGAAAUUCUAAUCGAACUCGGUAAUAGCUGGUUCUCCUCGAAAUAGCUUUAGGGCUAGCUGUAUGUGUUCCCGUUGGGGGUAGAGCACUGGAUGAGAGUUGGGCGGUUCGCCGUACCAUUUUCAAUCAAACUCCGAAUACCAACGAUUAAAAACAUGCAAGUCAGACCAUGGGGGCUAAGCUCCAUAGGUCAAAAGGGAAACAGCCCAGACCGCCAAUUAAGGUCCCUAAAUUAUCACUAAGUGUAAAACGUGGUGAAGAUUCUUAUACAACCAGGAGGUUGGCUUAGAAGCAGCCAUCCUUUAAAGAUAGCGUAAUAGCUCACUGGUCAAGAGUUUUCGCGCGGAAAAUGUAUCGGGGCUAAGUGAUAUACCGAAAUUGCGGAUUGCAGUAAGAAACUUUAAUUUUUAGUCAAAAAAAUUUGAAUGACUGGAAAUUAGAAUUUCUUACUGCAGUGGUAGAGGAGCAUUCCUAUUGCAGUGAAGUCGUACCCGCGAGGGGCGGUGGAGCGAUGGGAAGAGAGAAUGCAGGCACAAGUAGCAAAAAUGCUGGUGAAAGUCCAGCACGCCGAAAACCUAAGGUUUCCAGGGCCACGUGAAUCGUCCCUGGGUUAGUCGAUCCUAAGGCCAGCCUAUCGAAAGGUAGGGUAACCGAUGGAUGAGCAGGUUAAUAUUCCUGCACUUAGUAUAGUUUGUUAUUAUAUGUGCAUUUCAAAGUUAUGAGCGUUGUAUGGCUACACGUUUCGCAAGAUAAAGACUGCGGCUACGGCCAAAGCCAAUUCAUAUUUGAGAGGUGCCUAGAAAAGUAUAAUAACGUUAGGCUAUAUUAAUUCGUACCAAAACCGACACAGGUGGGUGGGUCGAGAAGACCAAGGCGCACGAGAGAAACAUUGUUAAGGAACUCGGCAAAACAGCGGCCGUAACUUCGGGAUAAGGCCUGCCCAUAGCAAUAUGGGCCACAGCAAAAGACUUCAUGCGACUGUUUACCAAAAACACAGCUCCCUGCAAAAGCGUAAGCUGAAGUAUAGGGGGCGAUGCCUGGCCAGUGUCAGAACGUUAAGGGGCGGGGUUAUCUACUUCGGUAGAGAAGCUCCAAUCUGAAGCGCUGAUGAACGCCGGCGAUAACUAUAAUCGUCCUAAGGUAGCGAAAUUCCUUGUCGGGUGAGUUCCGACCCGCACGAAUGGCAUAACGGUAUGAAGACUGUCUUAACAAUGUACUCGGCGAAAAUGCAAGUGUCGUGAAGAUGCGACAUAACCGCAGCUAGACGAAAAGACCCCGUGAAGCUUUACUACAGUUUGACAUUGGUAUAUUGUUUCAUAUGUUCAGCAUAGGUGGGAGACUUCGGUCACCAGUGAGAUACCACCCUUAUGUAAUGAUGUACCUAAUCUUCUUGUCUGAAUCGGCUGGAGGAGACAGUGUCUGAUGGGUAGUUUAACUGGGGCGGUUGCCUCCUAAAUUUUAACGGAGGCGUUUACAAAGGUUGGCUUAUCCCGGAUGGAAAUCGGGAUGGACGUGCAAACGCAAAAGCCAGCUUUACUGCAAGGGUUACAGUCCGAGCAGUUACGAAAGUAGAAGUUAGUGAUCCGACCGUACGAUAUAGGACGGCGGAAGCUCAACGGAUAAAAGCUACUCCGGGGAUAACAGGC